rnacentral:rRNA from 1 species
UACGUAGGGUGCGAGCGUUGUCCGGAAUUAUUGGGCGUAAAGAGCUCGUAGGCGGUGUGUCACGUCGUUCGUGAAAACCUGCAGCUUAACUGUGGGCGUGCGGUCGAUACGGGCAGACUGGAGUACUGCAGGGGAGACUGGAAUUCCUGGUGUAGCGGUGGAAUGCGCAGAUAUCAGGAGGAACACCGGUGGCGAAGGCGGGUCUCUGGGCAGUAACUGACGCUGGAGGAGCGAAAGCGUGGGGAGC